UCACCCCAGUCUCUAGUGAGAGAGCCAUGGCGGCAGGGGCGUGGCUGUCCCUGGAGGUGGGACUG
ensembl:miRNA